AUUGAACGCUGGCGGCAUGCCUUACACAUGCAAGUCGAACGGCAGCACGGGGGCAACCCUGGUGGCGAGUGGCGGACGGGUGAGUAAAGCAUCGGAACGUAUCCUGGAGUGGGGGGAUAACGUAGCGAAAGUUACGCUAAUACCGCAUAUUCUGUGAGCAGGAAAGCAGGGGAUCGCAAGACCUUGCGCUCUGGGAGCGGCCGAUGUCGGAUUAGCUAGUUGGUGGGGUAAAGGCCUACCAAGGCGACGAUCCGUAGCGGGUCUGAGAGGAUGAUCCGCCACACUGGGACUGAGACACGGCCCAGACUCCUACGGGAGGCAGCAGUGGGGAAUUUUGGACAAUGGGCGGAAGCCUGAUCCAGCCAUGCCGCGUGAGUGAAGAAGGCCUCGGUUGU
rnacentral:rRNA from 1 species